rnacentral:rRNA from 1 species
CACUUCUAAGGAAGGCAGCAGGCGCGCAAAUUACCCAAUCCUGACUCAGGGAGGUAGUGACAAGAAAUAACAAUAAACCGGCUUAUGCCGGUUUAAUUGGAAUGAGUACAAUUUAAACAUCUUAACGAGGAACAAUUGGAGGGCAAGUCUGGUGCCAGCAGCCGCGGUAAUUCCAGCUCCAAUAGCGUAUACUAAAGUUGUUGCAGUUAAAAAGCUCGUAGUUGGAUUUCUGUGGGGACGGAGCGGCCGGCCGCAACACGCGGUUCGAGCUAGCGCUUUCCCUACACCCUGCCGCGAACCGUGUUACCAUUAAUUUGGUGGCGCCGGGGAUCGGCUCGAUUACUUUGAGAAAAAUAGAGUGUUCAAAGCAGGCCACACGCCUUGAAUAAGUUAGCAUGGAAUAAUAGCAUAGGACUUCAUGUUCUACUUGUUGGUUGUCCCGAGAACCAGAGUAAUGAUUGAUAGGGACGGUUGGGGGCAUCCGUAUUCUCAAGCGAGAGGUGAAAUUCUUGGACCUUGGGAAGACGAACAGCUGCGAAAGCGUUUGCCUAGGACGUUCUCUUUAAUCAAGAACGAAAGUUGGGGGAUCGAAGACGAUCAGAUACCGUCGUAGUCUCAACUAUAAACUAUACCAGCUAGGGAUCGGCCAACGUUAUUUUAUACCGACUUGGUCGGCACCUUAUGAGAAAUCAAAGCAUCUGGGUUCCGGGGGGAGUAUGGUCGCAAGGCUGAAACUUAAAGGAAUUGACGGAAGGGCACCACCAGCCGUGGAGCCUGUGGCUUAAUUUGACUCAACACGGGAAAACUUACCAGGUCCAGACAUAGUAAGGAUUGACAGAUUGAUAGCUCUUUCUUGAUUCUGUGGGUGGUGGUGCAUGGCCGUUCUUAGUUGGUGGAGUGAUUUGUCUGGUUAAUUCCGUUAACGAACGAGACCCCAGCCUGCUAAAUAGCGCGCGUGAGCUUUGCUCGCGGCGAGCUUCUUAGAGGGACUAUGAUGCGCGAUAGCACAUGGAAGUUUGGGGCAAUAACAGGUCUGUGAUGCCCUUAGAUGUUCUGGGCCGCACACGGGCUACACUGGCGCCUGCAACGAGCAUAUCAGCUGGCCCGAGAGGGUCUUGGCUAAUCUUUUGAACCGGCGCCGUGCUUGGGAUUGACCUUUGCAAUUGUUGGUCAUGCAACGAGGAAUGCCUUGUAAACGCGAGUCAUCAGCUCGCAUUGAAUACGUCCCUGCCCUUUGUACACACCGCCCGUCGCUCCUACCGAUGAAUGUUCCGAUGAAAUUUUCGGAGAGCACCUGUGAACUUGGCUCUGCCUUGCGAACGGGAGGCUCAAAGUCACUUAAAUCUGAACAUUUCGAGG